rnacentral:piRNA from 1 species
CCAGAGUGCUCCCAGUCAGGUUUGGU